AUGAGGAUUUAGGGUCCCCGUCUGCUAAUGCCCCAGAUUUCUUGAUAACGUUGUCGUCGGAAGCAAGUCCAGGAUGUGAGAUGGGAAGGAGAGUAGAUGGACUCAUGAUGAAAGGACAGAAAUCAACUGCCAUCUUUUCCUGUUCUUCCAUUGCAGUGGCAGUGAUCACAGAGGAGAGAUGCCUAUGUUCACCUCUUCCACCUGGAUAGAUGCUGAGCUCUUAGAAAUUGACUUUCCAGGGGAUAC
rnacentral:lncRNA from 1 species